rnacentral:rRNA from 1 species
AUCUACGGCCAUGCUAUCCUGAACAAGCCCGAUCCCGUCUGAUCUCGGAAGCUAAGCAGGGUCAUGCCUGGUUAAUAAUUGGAUGGGAGACCACCUAGGAAGACAAGGUGCUGUAGGUG